rnacentral:rRNA from 1 species
UCCGUAGGCGGUGUGGCAAGUCGGAAGUGAAAUCUCUGGGCUUAACUCAGAGGCUGCUUCCGAAACUGCCGUGCUAGAGUGCGAGAGAGGCAAGUGGAAUUGCGGGUGUAGCGGUGAAAUGCGUAGAUAUCCGCAGGAACAUCCGAGGCGAAAGCGGCUUGCUGGAUCGCAACUGACGCUGAGGGACGAAAGCUAGGGGAGCAAACAGGAUUAGAUACCCCGGUAGUCCUAGCCCUAAACCAUCAGGACUUGGGGUUUGCCCUGUACGGGGCAAGUCCCGUAGCUAACGCGUUAAGUCCUGCGCCUGGGGAGUACGGUCGCAAGGCUGAA